UACAGAGGGUGCAAGCGUUAAUCGGAAUUACUGGGCGUAAAGCGUGCGUAGUCGGUUAUUUAAGUCGGGCGUGAAAGCCCCGGGCUCAACCUGGGAAUUGCGUUCGAUACUGGAUAGCUAGAGUUCGGCAGAGGGAAGCGGAAUUUCCGGUGUAGCGGUGAAAUGCGUAGAUAUCGGAAGGAACAUCAGUGGCGAAAGCGGCUUCCUGGACCAGAACUGACGAUCAGGCACGAAAGCGUGGGGAGCAAACAGG
rnacentral:rRNA from 1 species